CUUCCUAACAGGACUUGGGGUCCCGGUGCUGCUUCCUGCUGUGGGCACCUCCCUGCUCCCGCGGGGGUAGGGGUGCCUGGGGACACGGCAUCCUGGGGGCAGCUGCACCUUGCCUGCCCUCCUCCACCGGCAGUGAAGGUGCAGCGAUGCAGCUGGCUUCUGCUGGAGGUUGUGAGCAAGAAACGCCAGAAGCUGCCCAACAGCGUGAAGCUCUCCGUUCCGGAGAAGCCGUAGGGAGGAUGACGGCAACGACGGAUGUUAAUGAAGAGCAGCCUGCAGAGGAAAAAAGAAAGGAUGUGGGGAGAGGGGUGCCCUCCGGCUGAGGAGGGGACCCCGUGCGUGGAGGUUCAGCUGCCUGCAGCUCUUCUCCCCGACUUGCUUUCCCGUGCUGUGGAGGAAGGGCACGUCUCCGCAGCUGACAUCUCCCUUGGGCCUGCGCUUGCACCGAGCCGCUGCCAGAACGGGAACUGCAGGCGUCUGUUGAACAACAAAGCAAACGCCCAAGCAUUUCGGGUGUGAUGUCCCCAGCAUUCCAAGGAGAGAUUACGCAGCAGCAGCCCAAACGUCUGGAAUGGCUUCUUUCUAGGAGAGAAGCAAAGCCUUGGCGGAGCCAGAGCAGGAGCUUCUUUCCUGAAGGGAAGAGAACCUCCAGCCAUCGCUAUCCAUCUCCUCCCCGGCCAAAGGCCAAAGGCCAAAAGCCAAAGGCCAAAUCCCAAAUCCCAUAUCCCAAAUCCCCAAUCCCAAAUCCCAAAUCCCAAAUCCCCGCCUCCAUUGCUAACAUCAGAGCACAGCAAGCCGUACGUGUGCAGAAGCAUCCCAGAUUCCUAUGGCUCUGUAGCGGUGCGCUAAAGAGGGCCUCGGUCCUACAGCCUCACGGCAGGAACUUGGCAAACAAGGAGCUUCUCACGGGACUGCUCACUUGCAUCCACUGCCAUCGCAUCCACAGCCCGCAGCCCGCAGCCGUCGGGUGAAGCCCUCAAGAGUACAACGGAGGUCGAGUGCUGAAAGCACGGGAGAGUUCCCGCAGCAACUGCUGCUAACAGCAGACGCUCCCAGCAACUCCAAGGAAGCCCUGAGAGCCCCGAGCCGUGCCCCAGGACCGCUUCCUCUCUCGAUUCACCGCCACCGCCACGGGAAAAGCAGACGGGAAAAGGGCACCGACGAAAGCUGCCGAUCGCGUUCACGACGGAGGCACUGCCGGCACUCGGGAGGACGGGAGAGCCCGGGGCUACUCGGCUCGAAGCGCUUCCCGCCCGCCCCGUUUCCCCACCUGGCAGCGCGGCGGCGGGUCGGCUCCGGGUGCGCUUUCCGGCCCUUCCGGCAGGCGGCGCCACAGCAGUGAACCGCUGGCUUCACUCCGGCAUCGGGCACCGCGUCGCCAACGCGGGCGGCGCCGCGGGAAGAGGCCGCCAGCGGUACGCGAGUACGCGCCGACUGGACGCAGGCGUGCUUAGCGGCGUCGCGGAAAGAAAGCCGGUAGCAACGGCACGCGUUCUAACGGGCGGCGUACCUCCUAGCGAGCCGUCCGUCGGAGAUCGCCGGCAAGCGAGCCGCCUCACGGGAGCGAGCGUGGUCGAGUUAGCGGCGCUCCUCCCCGUGCCAAAGGGAGCUGCUUUGCUCUGAGUCCGCAUUUGCGAGGACGACGAGGACGACGAGGACGACGAGGAAGGGGCCGGCCGGAGGACGCUCGCGCGUUCACGCGUCUCCAGGGCGCGCGCAGAGCCGUGCGUCACUGCCACCGCACAGCGCCCGCCCGAGCCGCGCGUCGCCGCGGCAACGGCUUCUCCCCUCCUCCUCGCGGCUCCUCCUCUGCCUCUGCCUCUGCCUCUGCCUCUGCCUCUGCCUCUGCCUCUGCCUCUGCCUCUGCCUCUGCCUCUGCCUCCCCCCCCACUCGGCCUAUCACUAGCUAGCUGGUAGAAGGGGCCGACCCCCAUCUGGCUACAACUUCCAUACAGAAAGCAAUAGCACAACUAACUAAAAUGAAUUUCUUUGUCAGCGCAUACACAGAUAACAUUAUGGAGGAUUUGAAGCAGCAAGUACCAGAAUAAAUUAUAUGGUAUGGGAGGGUUGCUAUUCAAGCUGGAUGAAAAGUACAAAUGUUUCUAACGCAUUUCUGCUUCUGGUAUUUCCUAGAUUCUGUUUCUAUAGAAUUCUGUUUCGUGAAGAAAAGACAGAGAAAAUAUAUUCACAAGAGCGCAUGAAAGAAAGUGCCAUUUUAACAAUGAGUGAGAAAGUAUGUGCUUUUUCGAAAGGAUGUUAUGCUGUGGAGAUUCUGUGAUUUUCCUGCUGAAAGUGAUAUGCUGCCUGUAAUACCUCAUAUCUAUACAUAUCUGUACAUAUCUGUACACAUACAGAAACUUGGAAACAGUUUUCUAAACCAUUUUAAAAACCUUCCAGAGGAAAAGUUUCGGUGGGUUUUGAAUCUGUUUGUUAAAGAUGUUAAAAUGCAAUACUGUCCAGUUAGUAGAAGUGAAUAGCAUUUGAAGUGCUACAGCACACCACUGUUAUGUGAUCGCUUUCCCUUUUUAAUCUAUGAUGUGUGUACCUUCCUUUAAUAAAAACAAAACGAAACUGUUUUCAUGCAUGAAACUUACUUCUCAAGGUUUGACUAGAUGAUCUUGGAGCUCUUUCCCAACCUUGGUGGUUCCAUGAUUCUAGGAUCUGUGCUGUAAGUGUAGUGAUGCAUGUGAUGUGACAUGGUGGGAUUCUGAGCUUAACAAAAUAUUGCUUAUUUUGAUAUGCCGUUUCAAUUAACACCUUAUACAGAAUCAUAGAAUUAUGAAGGUUGGAAAGACCAUUAGAGCAGCUAGUCUAACCGUCAACCCACCGAAUCAUGUCAAUAGCAUAUCAAAGUGUUCAUAUAAGAAUGAAGCAGCCAGGUACUUUCCCACAAGUCAGGUACAACAUGGGAGCAUCUUGUAAGGGCUUAAGUGUCAAUGACGUUUUUUUUUAUUCCUGGUUCUUGCUUUGCUUUGGCUUUUCCUCUACUUAAUGAAGAAAGGGCAUGGGAUCACAACGGACAAUCUAAUAAACACAAGAAUGUAGUAAGGUGAUGUCAUCCUCAUAGUUUAUGCAUCCACGGAGAGCUGAAUGGAAAUAUGAGGAAAGUACGGGGGAAUGGGUAUUACUUUUGUAUGCGUCCACUUCCUGUGGACCACAGGAAGUUCCGUGUUAACGCGAGGAAGAGCUUAAUGAGUGUCAGAGUGACGGAGCACUGGAUCAGGUUGCCCUGAGAUGUUAUGGUGUCCCUUUUCCUGGAGAUAUUCAAGACCCAUCUGGACACCUAUCUGUGUGACCUGCUGUAGGGAACCUGUUUUAGCAGAGCAGUUGGACUCAUUGAUCUCUAGGAGUACCUUCCAACCCCUACAGUUCUGUGAUUCUGUGUGAUUCUGUGGUUAGUAGGCAAGAACAACCAAUUUACACUGCGGAAGAAGGGAAUUAUUAGCUGAAUUUCAGCAAAAAAACCUGUACAUAAAUGCUGGAUGGAAUUGAAAAAAAUGAGUACCGUGAUUUAGUACCUGCAUACAAAGAUGCUCUUCUUCCAUUUUAAUAUUUGUGAGGUAUCCAUUAAAACUAAGCACGGAAAUAAAGUGAAAUUACAGCCACACCUUUGAAUCAUUGGGUCACACAGUGUUAAACAGAGAUUCUCAAAAAUAAUGAACCGUAUUCAAUCACACUGCUCUCACCAGUAUUAUUAAUAUGUUUGUGAUAACAAUUUUUUUGCAUUAUUAAGAAAUAAAACAUUAUUUCAUCUUCA